GACGAACGCUGGCGGCGUGCCUAAUACAUGCAAGUAGAACGCUGAAGGAGGAGCUUGCUUCUCUGGAUGAGUUGCGAACGGGUGAGUAACGCGUAGGUAACCUGCCUGGUAGCGGGGGAUAACUAUUGGAAACGAUAGCUAAUACCGCAUAAUAGUAGAUGUUGCAUGACAUUUGCUUAAAAGGUGCAAUUGCAUCACUACCAGAUGGACCUGCGUUGUAUUAGCUAGUUGGUGGGGUAACGGCUCACCAAGGCGACGAUACAUAGCCGACCUGAGAGGGUGAUCGGCCACACUGGGACUGAGACACGGCCCAGACUCCUACGGGAGGCAGAAGUAGGGAAUCUUCGGCAAUGGACGGAAGUCUGACCGAGCAACGCCGCGUGAGUGAAGAAGGUUUUCGGAUCGUAAAGCUCUGUUGUAAGAGAAGAACGAGUGUGAGAGUGGAAAGUUCACACUGUGACGGUAUCUUACCAGAAAGGGACGGCUAACUACGUG
rnacentral:rRNA from 1 species